AGCGAACGCUGGCGGCAGGCCUAACACAUGCCAGUCGAACGAACCUUUCGGGGUUAGUGGCGGACGGGUGAGUAACACGUGGGAACGUGCCUUUAGGUUCGGAAUAACUCAGGGAAACUUGUGCUAAUACCGAAUGUGCCCUUCGGGGGAAAGAUUAAUCGCCUUUAGAGCGGCCCGCGUCUGAUUAGCUAGUUGGUUGAGGUAAUGGCUCACCAAGGCGACGAUCAGUAGCUGGUCUGAGAGGAUGAUCAGCCACAUUGGGACUGAGACACGGCCCAAACUCCUACGGGAGGCAGCAGUGGGGAAUCUUGCGCAAUGGGCGAAAGUCUGACGCAGCCAUGCCGCGUGAAUGAUGAAGGUCUUAGGAUUGUAAAAUUCUUUCACCGGGGACGAUAAUGACGGUACCCGGAGAAGAAGCCCCGGCUAACUUCGUG
rnacentral:rRNA from 1 species